AUUCCAGCUCCAAUAGCGUAUAUUAAAGUUGUUGCGGUUAAAAAGCUCGUAGUUGGAUUUCUGUUGAGAACGACCGGUCCACUCAACGAGUGCGCAUCUGGUUCGGUCUCGGCAUCCUCUCAAAAAACGACUCUGCGCUUGAUUGCGUGGAUCGGAGUUUGGGACUUUUACUUUGAGGAAAUUAGAGUGUUCACGGCAGGCUAUCGCCAGAAUACAUUAGCAUGGAAUAAUACUAUAGGAUCUUGAUCCUAUUUUGUUGGUUUCUAGGAGCAAGAUAAUGACUAAUAGGGACAAUUGGGGGCAUUCGUAUCAACACGUCAGAGGUGGAAUUCUUGGAUUGUGUUGCGACGAACUACUGCGAAAGCAUUUGCCAAGGAUGUUUUCAUCG
rnacentral:rRNA from 1 species